rnacentral:rRNA from 1 species
UACAGAGGUGGCAAGCGUUGUUCGGAAUUACUGGGCGUAAAGGGCGCGUAGGCGGCCCUCUAAGUCAGACGUGAAAUCCCCCGGCUUAACCUGGGAACUGCGUCUGAUACUGGAAGGCUUGAGUAUGGGAGAGGGAUGUAGAAUUCCAGGUGUAGCGGUGAAAUGCGUAGAUAUCUGGAGGAAUACCGGUGGCGAAGGCGGCAUCCUGGACCAUUACUGACGCUGAGGCGCGAAAGCUAGGGGAGCAAACGGG